rnacentral:rRNA from 1 species
AUUGAACGCUGGCGGCAUGCCUUACACAUGCAAGUCGAACGGCAGCACGGGUGCUUGCACCUGGUGGCGAGUGGCGAACGGGUGAGUAAUACAUCGGAACAUGUCCUGUAGUGGGGGAUAGCCCGGCGAAAGCCGGAUUAAUACCGCAUACGAUCUACGGAUGAAAGCGGGGGACCUUCGGGCCUCGCGCUAUAGGGUUGGCCGAUGGCUGAUUAGCUAGUUGGUGGGGUAAAGGCCUACCAAGGCGACGAUCAGUAGCUGGUCUGAGAGGACGACCAGCCACACUGGGACUGAGACACGGCCCAGACUCCUACGGGAGGCAGCAGUGGGGAAUUUUGGACAAUGGGCGAAAGCCUGAUCCAGCAAUGCCGCGUGCGUGAAGAAGGCCUCCGGGUUGUAAAGCACUUUUGUCCGGAAAGAAAUCCUUGGCCCUAAUACGGUCGGGGGAUGACGGUACCGGAAGAAUAAGCACCGGCUAACUACGUG